rnacentral:lncRNA from 1 species
AAGUUCCACUUGUUUUACAUAGGCUACUGGAUGUCUGGCUUGAUACCAAUAAUCUGAACUGUUAUUUAUUGUGGGUUCUCCAUGGUGGAGGUAAUUAUCUCUGGACAUUGAAAUGACCGGAUUGGGGCGUGCUCCACGGACCACUCCUGGAACACAUUGCAGAGGAGAGGAUUGUGUCUCUGGAACUCUUCUCCUUUGAAGGAGUCUUUGGACUAGGCAGAAAGUGAUCAAUUUCCUCUCAUAUUACCCUCAACCUGCGGCCUAUUUGUACUCCUGAUUGGAUAAAAGGGUUAAGAAGAACAAAAUGGUUGGAGAGAUUUUUGAAUUUUUAUGAUAAUUAUUUGGUGUCCCAGGAUCUACUGAAUGUCUCAAGAGAGGAACUUUUUUCCACUUCACAAAUUCUAAUUUUUGACUUGAUAAAGAAUGAUGAAUAUUUGUCACACAGAUAUUUAAAUGGAAUCAGGGCUGUAUAUAACCAUGACAUAAUACUUUGUCAAAAAGUGAAAAGUUAAUCUGGUUGGUCAUCAGUUUCAGAAGGGAGGAUUUUAAAUGGCUUAAAAAUAAUGUAGUCACAUGACUUAAAUUCAAAAGAAGGUAUUUUUACCUGGCAUAUGGAGAAGAUGAUGACAAUAAUGUGGAACUUGAUUAGACAUCAACAGAGACUCAAUGCCUCCUGGAAAACACCUGAGAAAUGAUUGAAGCUCGCUCUGGUCUUGCCUGGAAUCAUGCAUAACAUUUGUUGCUGCCUGCAUGUGGAUUCAUUUUAGCAGUUUAUCAAUUUGGACAGGGAAUUUUGAAUAAAAAAUUUUGGCAGUCAUUAUAGUGACUCUUCUGAGACUGAAAAUUCAGGUAACAAGGAAAAUCAGUGACUCUUUCUCUCUGCUUUCUUCAAAACACAAAUAAUCCAAUGAUGUAUAGGCUGCAUUGCCCUUUGAUUUGUUACCUUAGAGAUCAUUACAUGUUAGUACAUAAAGAAACUUCCCAAUCUUCUUUUAUAGCAUCCAGGUACUCCAAUGUGUA